UCCCUUGUAGCUCAGCUGGUAAAGAAUCUGCUUGCAAUGCGGGAGACCUGGGUUCGAUCCCUGGUUUGGGAA
rnacentral:tRNA from 1 species